AGUGAACGCUGGCGGUAGGCCUAACACAUGCAAGUCGAACGGCAGCACAGUAAGAGCUUGCGCUUACGGGUGGCGAGUGGCGGACGGGUGCGGAAUACAUCGGAAUCUACUUUUUCGUGGGGGAUAACGUAGGGAAACUUACGCUAAUACCGCAUACGACCUACGGGUGAACGCAGGGGAUCUUCGGACCUUGCGCGAUUGAAUGAGCCGAUGUCGGAUUAGCUAGUUGGCGGGGUAAAGGCCCACCAAGGCGACGAUCCGUAGCUGGUCUGAGAGGAUGAUCAGCCACACUGGAACUGAGACACGGUCCAGACUCCUACGGGAGGCAGCAGUGGGGAAUAUUGGACAAUGGGCGCAAGCCUGAUCCAGCCAUACCGCGUGGAGGAAGAAGGCCUUCGGGUUGUAAAGCCCUUUUGUUGGGAAAGAAAAGCAGCAGGUUAAUACCCCGCUGUUCUGACGGUACCCAAAGAAUAAGCACCGGCUAACUUCGUG
rnacentral:rRNA from 1 species